rfam:Fungal sp. No.14919 DNA, contig: Contig0012.
GCCCAUUUAGAGCAGUGGUGAGCUCGCUCGUCUCCGGGAGACUUGUGUAUCCAGGAUAACGAGAAGUCAGGGGUUCGAAUCCCCUAAUGGGUG